rnacentral:rRNA from 1 species
UACGUAGGGUGCAAGCGUUUGUCCGGAAUUAUUGGGCGUAAAGAGCUUGUAGGCGGUUUGUCGCGUCUGCUGUGAAAUUUCGGGGCUCAACCCCGAACUUGCAGUGGGUACGGGCAGACUAGAGUGUGGUAGGGGAGACUGGAAUUCCUGGUGUAGCGGUGAAAUGCGCAGAUAUCAGGAGGAACACCGAUGGCGAAGGCAGGUCUCUGGGCCAUAACUGACGCUGAGAAGCGAAAGCAUGGGGAGCGAACAGG